rnacentral:rRNA from 1 species
GACGAACGCUGGCGGCGUGCUUAACACAUGCAAGUCGAACGAAGUGGCGCACGGGUGUGUAACGCGUAAUCAACCUGCCCUUCAGAGGGGGACAACAGUUGGAAACGACUUCUAAUACCGCAUACUGAAGGUGGGGUUUGCGUCUGAUUAGCUAGUUGAAGGGGUAACGGCUCACCAAGGCGAUGAUCAGUAGCCGGUCUGAGAGGAUGAACGGCCACAUUGGGAAUGAGAAACGGCCCAGACGCCUACGGGAGGCAGCAGUGGGGAAUCUUGCGAAAAGGACGAAAGUCUGAAGAAGCAACGCCGCGUGAGUGAUGACGGCCUUCGGGUUGUAAAGCUCUGUUAAGCGGGACGCGGUACCGGAAUAGAAAGCCACGGCUAACUACGUGCCAGCAGCCGCGGUAAUAC